AUACGGAGGGUGCAAGCGUUAUCGGGAAUCAUUGGGUUUAAAGGGUCCGUAGGCGGACUAAUAAGUCAGGGGUGAAAUCCCACAGCUUAACUGUGGAACUGCCUUUGAUACUGUUAGUCUUGAGUUAUAUGGAAGUAGAUAGAAUGUGUAGUGUAGCGGUGAAAUGCUUAGAGAUUACACAGAAUACCGAUUGCGAAGGCAGUCUACUACGUAUAUACUGACGCUAAGGGACGAAAGCGUGGGGAGCGAACAGGAUUAGAAACCCUUGUAGUCC
rnacentral:rRNA from 1 species